GACUCAUUGCCCUUAACUUCUGCAUUGAUUACGGCUCUGACUAAUCGCCCCUAUGAAUCACCACCACUUGUGCGCACAGGUAGGCUUUAGGAGAUUUGGAAGCGUGGCUAUCAAUAAUAAUGUCAGUAACAGAAAUACGCUCCUGCACUGCGCUCCUCUAACAGGAAUAGAGACAAUUAUAGAUUCUUUAGCACAGCCCUGAUUACCAGGACUGCAGUGCUGUCAGCUGGGGCAGGGUUUUGCCCUCGUGCUCUGACAACACACAGAAGUUCAGAGCUGUUGUUGCCCUGCCUCACUAAGAGGAGACAGAACCUUGCUUAGAGCUGCUAUGUAAAUUCUGAUGAAUCACUGCAGCCCACAUGGUUUAUGAACCACCAGCACAUACCAGAAGUGGGCAGAGAUGAUUUUUUUUUUUUUUUUUUUUGUAGAAUUCAAUAAGAAAAGUAAGGUUGAAACAUCCUAUUAAUACAAAACUUGAGGCAGCUCUUACUCAUCUGGGUUUAGAUGCAGCUUUAUUUGGAACAGAGAGCCAGCAUCACCAUCACACUGUGCACUGCUGCCUCAGUAUCAUUUGUCAUGCCAAGUUUUGUUCCCAGUUUUUCAGUGCUGAGUCUGGCUAACUUGGCUGCCCCAGUGGAGCAGACAGUUAGCCAUUUAGGGCUUACCCAAGAGGACACUCCCAGAGGGCUUGCUUCUCCUUACGGUUGCACGUCUGAUAUUCUGCUCAGAGAGCACGAACACUGGUUCUCCUUUUGCUACAUGAGGACGGUUGUUUAUGGCAAGUUUACCUAUUUAUGAAAGUUUUGCUUCACUUGAGCAGCGAAAUACUGAUUCUGAUCUCCGCAUUUGUGCCAGGUGUUGGCUUUCAGCAAGGUUUAUUUGUUAUCCAAAUACUAUACCCCUGGUGCUGAGUGACUCCUGGCCUGGACAUGCACAUCCUGCUCCCAUUUCCAUUCAGCUGUGGCUCCUCUGCUCACCACGGUGGGAACACAAACUGGUUUGUAGUGGUGUAAGGGCUGCUUGCUUAAUGUUUCCGAACGUUCAUUUAAUACUGUUUUUCUAAGAUCAAGUGAGUUGGGCUCAGACAUGAAUGCAGAGGUUCCAGAAGGACAGACCUGGCAGACACAGAUUGCCAAGGUUUAUUCACAUCUUGGAUGGUCCUUUUUUUUUUCUGUAUGCAGUAGCUGUUGUACUACAGGUGGCCCUGUGGUGUUCGGAGUCCUGAGAGAAACCAGCCUGGGAGUGCUGUGAUUGCUCAGCCACUUGGGGUGAAGGCAGCCGUUGGAUUUUCCCCUGGAUCAGCUUUUGAACUGCAUUAAGGAGGAAGGAGCAGAAAGAAGGCAGCAGAAGGCCCCUCCUACAUUCCAGAUUAAUAGACCGGCUGGAGCGCUUUCAACCUGCGCGAUGCUUCUGUUGGCGGAUACGGCAGCGAAGGGCAGGGCGGUUCAGCACCAGGCUGUCAAAACAGCGUCACGUUACGGCCGUUCGGAAAACAAGUCUGCACAAAGGCGAGAUCGGUAAAUCUGCUCGGCAGUUGCCUGGUGCAGUAGGUGCUCAAAAGUUCACGACGGCUCCUAUUUUCCCAAAGCCCCCCCGGGAAAGGAGGGGGGGAGAAAGGGGGGGGGGAGGAGAGAUACCCUGCAGUUUCUAUGCGUGAUUCUGGCAAGCAGCCAGGGGCUUCGCUGACCUCCAAAACUGCUUUAGGAAUCAUUAAACGGGUCGGAGCGCACGGGUGGUGCACGCAGCUCAGGCACUCCACCUUUAGUUCCGAAACCCCCCGGUCAAGCACAGCGCUGGGUUCAUCCACUGCAACGCUCCACGAGCCUAUCGCAGAGGGCUGCACUGCGGCUCACUUACGGCUGCACGGCCGGGCCCUGCACUGCCACGGCCGGUCCCCGCGGAUCCUGUAUCAGCCGUGCGGCCAACACGGGCCGCUUCACGCACCUGUGCUGGGCAGGCUGCGAGGCCCGCUCCUUCCCGUGUCGCGAAGGCCCCACCGCCUCAUCUCGGGCCCGAGAAAGGUGGCUGCGCGCCGCCUCUCG
ensembl:lncRNA